rnacentral:tRNA from 1 species
GCGGAUGUGGCGAAAUCGGUAAACGUACUGGGCUUAGAACCCAGUGAAUUAAUUCUUGCAGGUUCGAGUCCUGUCAUCCGCACCA